GACGAACGCUGGCGGCGUGCCUAAUACAUGCAAGUCGAGCGAAGAGAUGGGAGCUUGCUCCCUGAUCUUAGCGGCGGACGGGUGAGUAACACGUGGGCAACCUGCCCUGCAGACUGGGAUAACUCCGGGAAACCGGAGCUAAUACCGGGUAAUACAUCGCACCGCAUGGUGCAAUGUUGAAAGUUGGCUUUCUGAGCUAACACUGCAGGAUGGGCCCGCGGCGCAUUAGCUAGUUGGUAAGGUAAUGGCUUACCAAGGCGACGAUGCGUAGCCGACCUGAGAGGGUGAUCGGCCACACUGGGACUGAGACACGGCCCAGACUCCUACGGGAGGCAGCAGUAGGGAAUCUUCCGCAAUGGACGAAAGUCUGACGGAGCAACGCCGCGUGAGUGACGAAGGCCUUCGGGUCGUAAAGCUCUGUUGUUAGGGAAGAACAAGUACCGUUCGAAUAGGGCGGUACCUUGACGGUACCUAACCAGAAAGCCACGGCUAACUACGUGCCAGCAGCCGCGGUAAUACGUAGGUGGCAAGCGUUGUCCGGAAUUAUUGGGCGUAAAGCGCGCGCAGGCGGUCUUUUAAGUCUGAUGUGAAAGCCCACGGCUCAACCGUGGAGGGUCAUUGGAAACUGGAGGACUUGAGUGCAGAAGAGG
rnacentral:rRNA from 5 species